rnacentral:rRNA from 1 species
GACGAACGCUGGCGGCGUGCUUAACACAUGCAAGUCGAACGGAAAGGCCCUGCUUUUGUGGGGUGCUCGAGUGGCGAACGGGUGAGUAACACGUGAGUAACCUGCCCUUGACUUUGGGAUAACUUCAGGAAACUGGGGCUAAUACCGGAUAGGAGCUCCUGCUGCCUGGUGGGGGCUGGAAAGUUUCGGCGGUUGGGGAUGGACUCGCGGCUUAUCAGCUUGUUGGUGGGGCAGUGGCUUACCAAGGCUUUGACGGGUAGCCGGCCUGAGAGGGUGACCGGCCACAUUGGGACUGAGAUACGGCCCAGACUCCUACGGGAGGCAGCAGUGGGGAAUAUUGCACAAUGGGCGGAAGCCUGAUGCAGCAACGCCGCGUGCGGGAUGACGGCCUUCGGGUUGUAAACCGCUUUCGCCUGUGACGAAGCGUGAGUGACGGUAAUGGGUAAAGAAGCACCGGCUAACUACGUG